GGGAGACCCUCAUGGCCCUGGUGACAUCACCCUCAGUAGGCAGAGCAUUAGAGCGACCACUUAACACCUAGCCAAUAAUUGAUGUAUUAUUCCAUGUUAUCUCUGACAAUGCUUAUGAUGUAACUUUGCUUUAAAAGGGACCUGCCGUCCCCUCUGAAUAAACUUUCCUCAAGUUAUUCAACAACCUGGAACCUGUGUCUGGUGUGAAUUACUUCAGGGAGCGUGCACGCAUUGUUUCAUUGAUUUGGCCAGGGGCAGAUACACAAAGAAAUAAUCAAUUCAUUGAUUGAUUUUUCCUUUUCAAUAUUUACAAAUACUGACACAAUAUAAAGACGUUUAUAGUGAAAUAGUCAGGACACCCACGAUAUAGAUGUAUGGGGGGGGGGUGACUGGGAUGUAUAUGUUUAAUUGCUUUGAUAAAAGUCCG